GACCUCAAAUCAGGUAGGACUACCCGCUGAACUUAAGCAUAUCAAUAAGCGGAGGAAAAGAAACUAACAAGGAUUCCCCUAGUAACUGCGAGUGAACCGGGAAAAGCUCAAAUUUAAAAUCUGGCAGUCUCUGGCUGUCCGAGUUGUAAUCUAGAGAAGUGUUAUCCGCGCUGGACCGUGUACAA
rnacentral:rRNA from 1 species